CCUACGGGAGGCAGCAGUGAGGAAUAUUGGACAAUGCGCGCGAGCCUGAACCAGCCAAGUAGCGUGAAGGAUGACUGCCCUACGGGUUGUAAACUUCUUUUAUAAAGGAAUAAAGUGAGGCAAGUGUGCCUUUAUGUAUGUACUUUAUGAAUAAGGAUAGGCUAACUCCGUGCCAGCAGCCGCGGUAAUACGGAGGGGCCGAGCGUUAUCCGGAUUGAUGGGGUUUAAAGGGAGCGUAGAUGGGUUGUUAAGUCAGUUGUGAAAGUUUGCGGCUCAACCGUAAAAUUGCAAUUGAUACUGGCAGUCUUGAGUAUAGUUGAGGUAGGCAGAAUUCGUGGUGUAGCGGUGAAAUGCUUAGAUAUCACGAAGAACUCCGAUUGCGAAGGCAGCUUACUAAACUGCCACUGACACUGAUGCGCGAAAGUGUGGGUAUCAAACAGGAUUAGAUACCCCUGUAGUC
rnacentral:rRNA from 1 species